CAGUCGCCGCUGGAAUACGUGGGUGGCAAGCGUUGUCCGGAAUUAUUGGGCGUAAAGGGCUCGCAGGCGGUUUCUUAAGUCUGAUGUGAAGGCCCCCGGCUCAACCGGGGAGGGUCAUUGGAAACUGGGAAACUUGAGUGCAGAAGAGGAGAGUGGAAUUCCACGUGUAGCGGUGAAAUGCGUAGAGAUGUGGAGGAACACCAGUGGCGAAGGCGACUCUCUGGUCUGUAACUGACGCUGAGGAGCGAAAGCGUGGGGAGCGAACAGGAUUAGAUACCCGCGUAGUCCCUGUCUCUUAUAC
rnacentral:rRNA from 1 species